rnacentral:lncRNA from 1 species
CUAAAACCCACCAUUCUCCACCUCCCCUAGCUGUUACAAAUCCCUCUGCUCAUAGCUCCAUCUCUUUGAAAUAGAAAAGGUCUCAGGAACCAUCUGGUUCCGUGCGUCCUUAACGCUGAGGCCCCUCGCCUGCAGCUGGAGGCAGCUCUCUGCUCAGGCUGCAGUGCAGAGUGACACAGGCGAGCGACAUCGUCACUGAGCACUAACUUCUGUGACAGGAGGCAGACAGUGAAAAUCAUUUCAGAACCGCGGCACGGCGUGAGACAGGCGAAGGGGUAGCUGCAAAGUUUUGGACAAGACCUCUGCAGGCAACUGGAAGCACAGUGUACCCAGGAGCUCAACCUCAUCAGCAUCUUUCCUUCAGGCAAACUGACAAUACAGGAUCUAGUCAAUGACUCAAGUGGAUUCAACUAUCGAAGAGGUGUGACAGCAACUUUGAGGAUGUGCAGAUAUCCAGUUUAUUACACAUUCAAUAAAAUAUUUUUCUCACCCUGCUUCAUCU